rnacentral:tRNA from 4 species
UCCGCGGUAGCUCAAUGGUAGAGCAGAUCCCUGUUAAGGAUAAGGUUACAGGUUCGAGUCCUGUCCGCGGAGCCA